CCUACGGGUGGCAGCAGUGGGGAAUAUUGCACAAUGGGGGAAACCCUGAUGCAGCAACGCCGCGUGCGUGAAGAAGUAUUUCGGUAUGUAAAGCUCUAUCAGCAGGGAAGAAAAUGACAGUACCUGACUAAUAAGACACGGCUAACUACGUGCCAGCAGCCGCGGGAAUACGUAGGGGGCAAGCGUUAUCCGGAUUUACUGGGUGGAAAGGGAGCGUAGACGGCUGCGCAAGUCAGAAGGGAAAGCCCGGGGCUCAACCGCGGGACUGCUUUUGAAACUGUGUAGCUAGAGUGAGGGAGAGGUAAGUGGAAUUCCUAGUGUAGCGGUGAAAUGCGUAGAUAUCACGAAGAACACCGAUUGCGAAGGCAGCUUACUAAACUUCCACUGACGUUGAGGCUCGAAAGUGUGGGUAUCAAACAGGAUUAGAUACCCGGGUAGUC
rnacentral:rRNA from 1 species